AACGAACGCUGGCGGCAUGCCUAACACAUGCAAGUCGAACGAGACCUUCGGGUCUAGUGGCGCACGGGUGCGUAACGCGUGGGAACCUGCCCUUAGGUUCGGAAUAACUCCCCGAAGGGGGUGCUAAUACCGGAUAAUGUCUUCGGACCAAAGAUUUAUCGCCUUUGGAUGGGCCCGCGUUGGAUUAGCUAGUUGGUAGGGUAAAAGCCUACCAAGGCGACGAUCCAUAGCUGGUCUGAGAGGAUGAUCAGCCACACUGGGACUGAGACACGGCCCAGACUCCUACGGGAGGCAGCAAUGGGGAAUAUUGGACAAUGGGCGAAAGCCUGAUCCAGCAAUGCCGCGUGAGUGAUGAAGGCCUUAGGGUUGUAAAGCUCUUUUACCCGGGAUGAUAAUGACAGUACCGGGAGAAUAAGCUCCGGCUAACUCCGUG
rnacentral:rRNA from 1 species